AGAGUUUGAUCCUGGCUCAGAUUGAACGCUGGCGGAAUGCUUUACACAUGCAAGUCGAGCGGCAGCGCGGGGCAACCUGGCGGCGAGCGGCGAACGGGUGAGUAACAUAUCGGAACGUAUCCUGAAGUGGGGGAUAGCCCGGCGAAAGCCGGAUUAAUACCGCAUACGAUCUUCGGAUGAAAGUGGGGGACCUUCGGGCCUCACGCUUCAGGAGCGGCCGAUAUCUGAUUAGCUAGUUGGGGGGGUAAUGGCCCACCAAGGCGAUGAUCAGUAGCUGGUCUGAGAGGAUGAUCAGCCACACUGGGACUGAGACACGGCCCAGACUCCUACGGGAGGCAGCAGUGGGGAAUUUUGGACAAUGGGGGCAACCCUGAUCCAGCCAUUCCGCGUGAGUGAAGAAGGCCUUCGGGUUGUAAAGCUCUUUCGGCCAGAACGAAACGGGUCUAGUUAAUAUCUAGGCCUACUGACGGUACUGGAAGAAGAAGCACCGGCUAACUACGUGCCAGCAGCCGCGGUAAUACGUAGGGUGCGAGCGUUAAUCGGAAUUACUGGGCGUAAAGCGUGCGCAGGCGGUCUGUUAAGACAGGUGUGAAAUCCCCGGGCUUAACCUGGGAAUUGCGCUUGUUUACUGGGCAGGCUAGAGUGUGUCAGAGGGAGGUAGAAUUC
rnacentral:rRNA from 1 species